UACGAAGGGGGCUAAGCGUUGCUACGGAAUCACUGGGCGUAAAGGGUUGCGUAGGCGGGUCUUUAAGUCAGGGUGAAAUCCUGGAGCUCAACUCAGAACUGCCUUUGAUACUGAAGAUCUUGAGUUCGGGAGAGGUGAGUGGAACUGCGAAGUGUAGAGGUGAAAUUCGUAGAUAUUCGCAAGAACACCAGUGGCGAAGGCGGCUCACUGGCCCGAUACUGAACGCUGAGGCA
rnacentral:rRNA from 1 species